rnacentral:rRNA from 1 species
UUCAUUUAAAGAGUGCGUAACAGCUCACUAGUCGAGGAGUCUGGCGUGGAUAAUACUCGGGCAUAAACUGUUUACCGAAGCUAUGGAUCUCGUAUGAGAUGGUAGGGGAGCAUUCCAUGUACGUCGAAGGUGAGGGAUGACCCUUGCUGGAGUGCAUGGAAACGCAAAUGUAGGUAUAAGUAACGAUAAAGGAGGUGAGAAACCUCCUCGCCGAAAGACUAAGGUUUCCUGAUCAACGUUAAUCGGAUCAGGGUAAGUCGGGACCUAAGGAUAAGCCGAACGGCGAUUCCGAUGGAAGAAUGGUUUAAUAUUCCCAUACUACUUUAUGGAGCGAUGUGGAGACGGAGAAGUGACAGUCCUGCCAUCUGACGGAAUAGGUGGUUGAAGAGUGUAGAUGUAGAUUCCUGUAGGCAAAUCCGCAGGGAGAGUCGACCUUGACAGUAUGCCGCGUGCUUGCACAAGGCAAAAUGGACGUAAUCAGGCUCCCAAGAAAAUCCGCUAAGCAUAUUCAUAAAGUACCCGUACCGUAAACGGACACACGUAGUUGGGUUGAAAAUACUGAGGCGCUCGAGUGAUUCACGGUUAAGGAACUAGGCAAAUUGACCCUGUAACUUCGGGAUAAAGGGUCCCUACCCGGUGACGGGAGGGCGCAGAGAAUAGGUCCAGGCAACUGUUUAACAAAAACACAGGGCUGUGCAAAAUUGAAAGAUGAAGUAUACAGCCUGACACCUGCCCGGUGCUGGAAGGUUAAGAGGAGAUGUCAUCGCAAGAGAAGCAUUGAAUUGAAGCCCCAGUAAACGGCGGCCGUAACUAUAACGGUCCUAAGGUAGCGAAAUUCCUUGUCGGGUAAGUUCCGACCUGCACGAAUGGUGUAAUGAUCUGGACACUGUCUCAACCGUGAGCUCAGUGAAAUUGUAGUAUCGGUGAAGAUGCCGAUUACCCGCGAUGGGACGAAAAGACCCCGUGAACCUUUACUAUAGCUUUACAUUGAAUUUGGGCAACUAAUGUGUAGGAUAGGCCGGAGACUAUGAAGUAGGCACGCCAGUGUUUGUGGAGUCGUCGUUGAAAUACGGCCCUUUGGUUGUUUGAGUUCUAACUCGCAGAAGCGAGGACACUGUAUGGUGGGUAGUUUGACUGGGGUGGUCGCCUCCAAAAGAGUAACGGAGGCUUCUAAAGGUACCCUCAGACCGAUUGGUAACCGGUCGCAGAGUGUAAUGGCAUAAGGGUGCUUGACUGGGAGACAGACAAGUCGAUCAGGUAGGAAACUAGAGCAUAGUGAUCCGGUGGUUCCGCAUGGAAGGGCCAUCGCUCAAAGGAUAAAAGGUACUCCGGGGAUAACAGGCUGAUCAUUCCCAAGAGCUCAUAUCGACGGAAUGGUUUGGCACCUCGAUGUCGGCUCGUCACAUCCUGGGGCUGGAGAAGGUCCCAA